rnacentral:rRNA from 1 species
UACAGAGGUCUCAAGCGUUGUUCGGAUUCAUUGGGCGUAAAGGGUGCGUAGGUGGCGUCGUAAGUCAGGUGUGAAAUCUCGGAGCUUAACUCCGAAACUGCAUUUGAUACUGCGGUGCUUGAGGACUGGAGAGGAGACUGGAAUUUACGGUGUAGCAGUGAAAUGCGUAGAGAUCGUAAGGAAGACCAGUGGCGAAGGCGAAUCUCUGGACAGUUACUGACACUGAGGCACGAAGGCCAGGGGAGCAAACGGG